UACGUAGGGUGCGAGCGUUGUCCGGAAUUAUUGGGCGUAAAGAGCUCGUAGGCGGUUUGUUGCGUCUAUCGUGAAAACCUGCAGCUUAACUGUGGGCUUGCGGUGGAUACGGGCAGACUUGAGUUCGGUAGGGGAGACUGGAAUUCCUGGUGUAGCGGUGAAAUGCGCAGAUAUCAGGAGGAGCACCGGUGGCGAAGGCGGGUCUCUGGGCCGAUACUGACGCUGAGGAGCGAAAGCGUGGGGGAGCGAACAGG
rnacentral:rRNA from 1 species